rnacentral:tRNA from 2 species
CGGGGAGUAGCUCAGCCUGGUAGAGCACCGGCUUUGGGAGCCGGGGGCCGCUGGUUCGAAUCCAGUCUCCCCGACCA